GGCCUGGUGGUGUACCGGUAACAUAUCUUCUAAACUUGGGUGCUGAAUAGAUAGAGUAAGAGGAAGAUCCCUGUUCGACUCGGGGCCAGGCCA